CACUUGUAUUUCAUUUUAUUGAACUUAGGGAAGGUUUUCUUUUUAACUUAGAGUGACAGGAUUUGACAGCAGAAACGAGCCCAUUCCUCUGAGCAGAGGGCGCUGACCAGCAGUUAAUCACACACGGGAAAGUGACAGUCAUCAUAUUCAGCCCGUGGCUCUGAUGCUGUAGAAGCUCUGCCGCCUGGAACACAGACUGCAAAUAAAUAAAGUGCAUGGAGAGCCUGUCAGGCAGCCAGGGCCCAGUGCGGGAGAGGGAAGGGGUGGGGAAGAAGCGCGCUAAGUACUCAAGGCCAAACCGGUCAGGAAAGCAGUGGCAGGAACACGGGGCGAAAGACGUGCAUCCCCUCCCCUGCCCCUCCCCUGACCCUUGAGGGCUGCGCAGGGACACCCUGUACCCUGGGGGAGGGGGUGGCACAGGAUGGAGCUUUCUGCAGGGGAGGGGCCGCGGGCCAGGGGCCCUGAGGCUCUCCCCACCCCUCUCCCAGCCGGUAAGAGAUGUCACAGGCCCCAGGCAGCUCCACCUGAGCCACAAGGCUGCAGCUGGGGAGCCGGUCGCUCGAGGGUGAGACGGGGGUCUUGAAAGGGGCACAUCAGUGGAUCAGCCCUAAGGAGGCCCCUCGUCCUCUCCUCUCAGACAGCCUCAGGUGGCUGUUGAAGGCUGUCCCCAGACAUCUGUAGAUGGAGUCAGCAGGCUGGCAGGCUCCCCGAACUGGACCUCGGUGGAAAGGGUUGGGGUAUGGGAGGUUCCACCCGGAUCAGGGACCCCAGGGCACUAGGCACAAGGAAGGAAGCCAUCACACCCUGUGGGGAGCUGCAGGGGACACAUGGUGGCUUCGUCUGGCCUCAGUCCCCGGGGUGAGGCAGGCAGAGCUCUUCAAUCAGGAUCAGGCUUCCAGCUUGGCAGCUGAGGAAAGCAGGAGGUGUGACACUGGGCCACUCUGUCCCUGGGGCUGACCAGAUUGCUUUGGUUUUCAGGUCCAGGAAUUCAGAGCGUGGGGACCAAGAGCAACCAGUGGCAGAGCAGCUGUGGGACAGGGGUCUUUCCUGGCUCCCCUUGGGGCCAUGCCUGGCCAUCCUGGUGCACCAGGUAGCAGUACACCUGGGUCCUCCGGGACCAAUCCAAGCCCAUCCAGAGAAGGUUCUCUGAGUGAUCCUGGGCUUGGGGCCCUGAGCCUGGGGACAGAGAGACGGAGUCACACACGGGUCCCAGGCUCAUCUUAGGUUUAUCCCUUCACCCUCCUGAUUCCGUCAUGUCCCCAGGAGCCAUGCCACCACCCACCCCCACCCUGCCACCCAAACUAAGAGGCUCCUGCCACUCAACUGCUGAGGAGCCCUUGGUCAAGCCUGGGGUGGGGUGCUGGGGAGGCCAGGCCGUGUGGGUAGACGUCAGCUCCGCAAGGGGUUCUAGGACUCUCCUGAGUCCACCUCAGCUCUCGCUGUCUCCCCUGUGACCUCCCAUAGCACUCCAAGAAAAGCCAAUCCCCCACAUUCCCUACCCUGGACCUCUCUCUUUCCCCUUAGGUCCCUCAGAGGGGCCCUGAGUUCCCUCCCACAUCCACCCUCUACCAUGCCAGGUUUUCCCAAAGUCUGGGGGCAGAUC
rnacentral:lncRNA from 1 species